rnacentral:rRNA from 1 species
AGCGUACACGGUGGAUGCCCUGGCAGUCAGAGGCGAUGAAGGACGUGCUAAUCUGCGAUAAGCGUCGGUAAGGUGAUAUGAACCGUUAUAACCGGCGAUUUCCGAAUGGGGAAACCCAGUGUGUUUCGACACACUAUCAUUAACUGAAUCCAUAGGUUAAUGAGGCGAACCGGGGGAACUGAAACAUCUAAGUACCCCGAGGAAAAGAAAUCAACCGAGAUUCCCCCAGUAGCGGCGAGCGAACGGGGAGGAGCCCAGAGCCUGAAUCAGUGUGUGUGUUAGUGGAAGCGUCUGGAAAGGCGCGCGAUACAGGGUGACAGCCCCGUACACAAAAAUGCACAUGCUGUGAGCUCGAUGAGUAGGGCGGGACACGUGGUAUCCUGUCUGAAUAUGGGGGGACCAUCCUCCAAGGCUAAAUACUCCUGACUGACCGAUAGUGAACCAGUACCGUGAGGGAAAGGCGAAAAGAACCCCGGCGAGGGGAGUGAAAAAGAACCUGAAACCGUGUACGUACAAGCAGUGGGAGCACGCUUAGGCGUGUGACUGCGUACCUUUUGUAUAAUGGGUCAGCGACUUAUAUUCUGUAGCAAGGUUAACCGAAUAGGGGAGCCGAAGGGAAACCGAGUCUUAACUGGGCGUUAAGUUGCAGGGUAUAGACCCGAAACCCGGUGAUCUAGCCAUGGGCAGGUUGAAGGUUGGGUAACACUAACUGGAGGACCGAACCGACUAAUGUUGAAAAAUUAGCGGAUGACUUGUGGCUGGGGGUGAAAGGCCAAUCAAACCGGGAGAUAGCUGGUUCUCCCCGAAAGCUAUUUAGGUAGCGCCUCGUGAAUUCAUCUCCGGGGGUAGAGCACUGUUUCGGCAAGGGGGUCAUCCCGACUUACCAACCCGAUGCAAACUGCGAAUACCGGAGAAUGUUAUCACGGGAGACACACGGCGGGUGCUAACGUCCGUCGUGAAGAGGGAAACAACCCAGACCGCCAGCUAAGGUCCCAAAGUCAUGGUUAAGUGGGAAACGAUGUGGGAAGGCCCAGACAGCCAGGAUGUUGGCUUAGAAGCAGCCAUCAUUUAAAGAAAGCGUAAUAGCUCACUGGUCGAGUCGGCCUGCGCGGAAGAUGUAACGGGGCUAAACCAUGCACCGAAGCUGCGGCAGCGACGCUNNNNNNNNNNNNNNNNNNNNNNNNNNNNNNNNNNNNNNNNNNNNNNNNNNNNNNNUAUGCUGGAGGUAUCAGAAGUGCGAAUGCUGACAUAAGUAACGAUAAAGCGGGUGAAAAGCCCGCUCGCCGGAAGACCAAGGGUUCCUGUCCAACGUUAAUCGGGGCAGGGUGAGUCGACCCCUAAGGCGAGGCCGAAAGGCGUAGUCGAUGGGAAACAGGUUAAUAUUCCUGUACUUGGUGUUACUGCGAAGGGGGGACGGAGAAGGCUAUGUUGGCCGGGCGACGGUUGUCCCGGUUUAAGCGUGUAGGCUGGUUUUCCAGGCAAAUCCGGAAAAUCAAGGCUGAGGCGUGAUGACGAGGCACUACGGUGCUGAAGCAACAAAUGCCCUGCUUCCAGGAAAAGCCUCUAAGCAUCAGGUAACAUCAAAUCGUACCCCAAACCGACACAGGUGGUCAGGUAGAGAAUACCAAGGCGCUUGAGAGAACUCGGGUGAAGGAACUAGGCAAAAUGGUGCCGUAACUUCGGGAGAAGGCACGCUGAUAUGUAGGUGAAGCGACUUGCUCGUGGAGCUGAAAUCAGUCGAAGAUACCAGCUGGCUGCAACUGUUUAUUAAAAACACAGCACUGUGCAAACACGAAAGUGGACGUAUACGGUGUGACGCCUGCCCGGUGCCGGAAGGUUAAUUGAUGGGGUCAGCGCAAGCGAAGCUCUUGAUCGAAGCCCCGGUAAACGGCGGCCGUAACUAUAACGGUCCUAAGGUAGCGAAAUUCCUUGUCGGGUAAGUUCCGACCUGCACGAAUGGCGUAAUGAUGGCCAGGCUGUCUCCACCCGAGACUCAGUGAAAUUGAACUCGCUGUGAAGAUGCAGUGUACCCGCGGCAAGACGGAAAGACCCCGUGAACCUUUACUAUAGCUUGACACUGAACAUUGAGCCUUGAUGUGUAGGAUAGGUGGGAGGCUUUGAAGUGUGGACGCCAGUCUGCAUGGAGCCGACCUUGAAAUACCACCCUUUAAUGUUUGAUGUUCUAACGUUGACCCGUGAUCCGGGUUGCGGACAGUGUCUGGUGGGUAGUUUGACUGGGGCGGUCUCCUCCUAAAGAGUAACGGAGGAGCACGAAGGUUGGCUAAUCCUGGUCGGACAUCAGGAGGUUAGUGCAAUGGCAUAAGCCAGCUUGACUGCGAGCGUGACGGCGCGAGCAGGUGCGAAAGCAGGUCAUAGUGAUCCGGUGGUUCUGAAUGGAAGGGCCAUCGCUCAACGGAUAAAAGGUACUCCGGGGAUAACAGGCUGAUACCGCCCAAGAGUUCAUAUCGACGGCGGUGUUUGGCACCUCGAUGUCGGCUCAUCACAUCCUGGGGCUGAAGUAGGUCCCAAGGGUAUGGCUGUUCGCCAUUUAAAGUGGUACGCGAGCUGGGUUUAGAACGUCGUGAGACAGUUCGGUCCCUAUCUGCCGUGGGCGCUGGAGAACUGAGGGGGGCUGCUCCUAGUACGAGAGGACCGGAGUGGACGCAUCACUGGUGUUCGGGUUGUCAUGCCAAUGGCACUGCCCGGUAGCUAAAUGCGGAAGAGAUAAGUGCUGAAAGCAUCUAAGCACGAAACUUGCCCCGAGAUGAGUUCUCCCUGACUCCUUGA